AGCCCGAAUCCCACGCACCGAUGGCCCAAGGUCUCCAGAGGAAGGCUCGUCCUCUCUGGGAUAGUCGGGACCUAAGGCGAGGCCGAAAGGCGUAGCCGAUGGACGACGGGUGGAUAUUCCCGUACCCGAUGUGUGGCGAUGGAGUGACGGAGAAGGCUCAGGCAACCAGCUGCUGGAAUAGCUGGGGCAAGCGAGAUACCUGCGCACCAGGGAAAUCCGGUGCGCGCAAGGGGAAGGCGCGAAGCAUACGGAAAGCUGCGGCAAGUACGGAAAAGCUGAGAGCAGGCUUCCAGGAAAAGCUUCUAGCACAACACGCAUCGGCCCGUACCGAAAAUGGACACACAUGGGCGAGGAGAGAAUCCUGAGGUGAGCGAGAGAACUAUAGCUAAGGAACUCUGCAAAAUGACCCCGUAACUUAGGGAGAAGGGGUGCUCCAGAAAUGGAGCCGCAGUAAAACGGCCCAAGCGACUGUUUACCAAAAACACAGCUCUCUGCGAAGGCGCAAGCCGAAGUAUAGGGGGUGACGCCUGCCCGGUGCUGGAAGGUCAAGGGGAGCUGUCAGCGCAAGCGAAGCAGCGAGCCGAAGCCCCAGUAAACGGCGGCCGUAACUAUAACGGUCCUAAGGUAGCGAAAUUCCUUGUCGGGCAAGUUCCGACCCGCACGAAAGGCGUAACGAUUUGGGCGCUGUCUCAGCUGUAGACUCGGUGAAGUCUUAGUACCUGUGAAGAUGCAGGUUGCCCGCGACUAGACGGAAAGACCCCAUGGAGCUUCACUGCAGGUUGACAUUGGGCUUGGAUGCAUGAUGUACAGGAUAGGUGGGAGGCUGUGAGCCGUGCGCGCCAGCGUACGGGGAGCCGCUGUUGGGAUACCACCCUUCAUGCAUCUAGGUCCUAACCGGAGGCAACGGGCCACGGGACAGUGUCAGUCGGGCAGUUUGACUGGGGCGGUCGCCUCCCAAAGAGUAACGGAGGCGCCCAAAGAUACCCUCAGCAUGGAUGGAAACCAUGCAUAGAGUGCAAAGGCAUAAGGGUGUCUGACUGCGAGACAUACAGGUCGAGCAGGGACGAAAGUCGGGCUUAGUGAUCCGGCGGAUCCGAAUGGAAGGGCCGUCGCUCAACGGAUAAAAGCUACCCUGGGGAUAACAGGCUGAUCUCCCCCAAGAGUUCACAUCGACGGGGAGGUUUGGCACCUCGAUGUCGGCUCAUCGCAUCCUGGAGCUGAAGUCGGUUCCAAGGGUUGGGCUGUUCGCCCAUUAAAGCGGUACGCGAGCUGGGUUCAGAACGUCGUGAGACAGUUCGGUCCCUAUCUGUCGUGGGCGCAGGAGGUUUGAGGAGAGCUGCCCCUAGUACGAGAGGACCGGGGUGGACGGACCGAUGGUGCACCAGUUGUCACGCCAGUGGCACAGCUGGGCAGCCAAGUCCAGACGGGAUAAGCGCUGAAGGCAUCUAAGCGUGAAGCCCCCUCCAAGAUGAGACCUCCCAUUGGCGACAAGUAAGGCCCCUCGAAGACGACGAGGUUGAUAGGCCGCGAGUGCAAGCGCAGCGAUGUGCUUAGCGGGGCGGUACUAAUAGGCCGAGGACUUGGCC
rnacentral:rRNA from 1 species